GAUGAACGCUGGCGGCGUGCCUAAUACAUGCAAGUCGAGCGAACGGACGAGAAGCUUGCUUCUCUGAUGUUAGCGGCGGACGGGUGAGUAACACGUGGAUAACCUACCUAUAAGUCUGGGAUAACUUCGGGAAACCGGAGCUAAUACCGGAUAAUAUUUUGAACCGCAUGGUUCAAAAGUGAAAGACGGUCUUGCUGUCACUUAUAGAUGGAUCCGCGCUGCAUUAGCUAGUUGGUAAGGUAACGGCUUACCAAGGCAACGAUGCAUAGCCGACCUGAGAGGGUGAUCGGCCACACUGGAACUGAGACACGGUCCAGACUCCUACGGGAGGCAGCAGUAGGGAAUCUUCCGCAAAGGGCGAAAGCCUGACGGAGCAACGCCGCGUGAGUGAUGAAGGUCUUCGGAUCGUAAAACUCUGUUAUUAGGGAAGAACAUAUGUGUAAGUAACUGUGCACAUCUUGACGGUACCUAAUCAGAAAGCCACGGCUAACUACGUG
rnacentral:rRNA from 1 species